UUUGAUGAGGCGCAUUAAACAUGAGUAAAUAUUAGGCAACUGUCUGCUAACAGCUAAUAUUGAAAGGGGGCAAUGCCGAAACGAAUGAUAAUAGCAGGUAUCAUUUGUUGGACUUUUUGGUUAAGAGCUAAGAGUUUGUCAUUAUUUCAUAAUAAUGGAGUGCAUC
rnacentral:ncRNA from 1 species